rnacentral:tRNA from 2 species
GCCGAUGUAGCUCAGUGGUAGAGCAACUGUUUUGUAAACAGUAGGUCGUCGGUCCGAUCCCGACCAUCGGCU